GAGAGGAAGUCAGUUUUAAUAAAGCUUUAUUUACCACAAGCAACUAAAUAGCUACUGCGGCUGGCUUGGGGCUAUUAAAAAGGGACCAGAUGCCAGGCAAAAGGAGGACUUGUCGUGCCAGCCAGGGGAGAAGAGAUAUUUGUGCUGCGAAGCUUUCCAUUGUCAUUCAACAAAUGGGCAGUAAUCCCCAGAAGACUUUCUAUCAUCUUUGGACUCCAAGAGCAAGCAAGCAGAUACCGGCACUCACGAAAACUCCUCUCCUACCCUCCGCCACAACGAUGGCACAACCCCAUAAGCUUUGAAAAAAAGAAGAGAUGACAGCUUGCAUAAGCGAGCCUGCUGGACUCCGCUGGGAGCAGGAGCGGCGGUGCGCAGAAAUUGUUCAAUCAUCAAGCACAUCUGCAGCCUGAUUACAAAAGCAAAAAGGUGGCGAGGUUGGCUGUGCAGAGCAGGGAGGCCUGCGAUGUGACCUGCGCUAGGAAGAAGGAAUGAAAAUAUUAUACACACCACACGCACAUGCACAAAGGGAAGGAUUUUUCUCAGGGACUCAGCAGUGGUACAGCUCCAACCAAGUGUAUCAUGGCUUUCAGGCUCUGCACACUGGUCACUGACUGGCACAAUAAAGCUUUGACUCCUGUCUUGUGGCAAUGCUGCUCACCUCGGUCCGAUGGAAUUGAACGGAUGGCUUCCGUAUAUACUAAAUACACAAGAUCCUUAAUUCAUGUAAUUGUCCCAUUUAGGUCGAUGUGACUUCCUACUUUACCUCUUAACCCCCAAGCAUGAUACGGGAAGUGGGUGAUCCCAUUUGUUGUGGAUGAAAGAAAAGGGAGUCCCGCAUUUCAUAAAAGCAAGAGAUAAUAAUGUGAAGUUAAAGGUGAAAAUGCCAUUUUGGUCAUUGAGUCCAACUGUGGAGACUGGUCCAGAUACUUGGCAUGCUCCAAAUGACAGUCACCAGGAAUGUGGACUCUUAAUAAUAGUUCACACUUCAUUUCCAAAGUUAUUUAAGAGGAGAUUCUACAAUUUAGAUCUUGGUCCAAAAGUGUGGAAGGUAUGUAUCUACCAUGGCAUAAAGCAAAGGUUGUUCUUGCCCCCUGCAAUUACCUUGCAAGAACACCUUGACAUAAAGGUUAUCAACCUUCCACAGCAAAAAAGAAAAAAGGAAAACCAUUUUUCAGCUCCAUACAAAAGGAAAUAAGCAAAUCAUUGAGAGAGUUAUUUCAGUGUCAGUAUAAGAUGAUAUUGUAACAGCUGAGAAUGAUGCAAAUAUUUGACAGUACAGUACCUCAUUUAAACCCAACCACACAUUUUUCUGUUUACACACAAAAGAUUUAACUGGAUAGCCCAAUGUAUCUAUCCCAGGAAUUUAAAAGAAAGUUACUGAUAGUACAGAUUUACUCUAAUGUCCAUUAAAUAAUUGAUAAUAUGCAAUCUACAGCAUGCAUUCCACAACUACAAUUCUGAAACUAUAAAAUAGGUCAGAAACAGAUUUGACCUCUUGGGGGGAAAUCAAAGAAAGGCCAAAAGAAAGCCUUUCCUGUUAUCAUUAUAAUCCAUUUAUUUUCCUCUUUCCAAGUGGAAUGUGAGUUCCAAUUAGUGCCAGAGACAGUGCUUGGUUAAGUACUGAUUUUUAUAUUUUCAAACAGGAAACCUUGCCAUUGCUUUUCUAUCCCAGCAUGCUUCUGUGUAAUCUGAGAUCGUUUUCACAAGGCUCAGCCUUAAUCUGAUUAGUCUGGAAGGGGCUUCCUUCAUCAUCAUCUUUAAGCAUGGCUUGCCACCAAGUGCCUUAAGACAUUCUGACAAUGCUUCCUCCUUUUCUUUAACAUCCGAAGGAAAUAUUCCACUGAACCAUUUUCUUUUUCUUUUUUCCUUUUGUGUGUGUGUCCUAUUUACAUUUUUAAUAGCAGAUCUGCCAGCAAGGGCCACUAGGAAGCUGGCUUCCCGGGAAGAAUAUCAUGAAAGCAGACCAAUCAGCCCCAGAAGCUGCUGCAGCAAGGACACUUCUCUCCCUUUACAGGGAAAAAAUAAACCAAGCCUGAGAGCCCAGAGGACAUGCCAGAUUUGCAGCCACAAGAGGAAGGUUUCCAGCAGCCACAAGAGCAGAGCCUCUGGAAACCACAGCAGCAGAAAUUCUAGCAGCCACAGCAUCAGGUUUCCAGCAGCCACUAUCCUCAGAAGAAGAGCAAGACUUACCAGUACCUGCCCUCGUGGAGAGACAUCAGGAUAGAGAAAGAUGCUGACACUCACAACAUUUAUAUAGGAAGCAUGCUGCAAUUAGGGAGCACCUGCAAGACCCAGGCAGGCUAUAGUAACCCAGCAUUUCCCCCAGACAAGUGUGGCCAACAACUAAGCUUCACCUUGGAAGAAAGCUAUGCAGGGUGACUGAUUGCCUGUUUGCCUUGAACUCUGCAUGGACUUCUAACUACUCUUCUGGACAACCCUUUGUAUUGCAUGCCUGGACUGAACACUGAUCUGUAAAGGACUUGGACUGGAGUGGACUACCUUUGCUUCUCAGCUGAUGUCCGGGUGAGCUCUGACUCUCUCUCUCUCUCUUAUUAAAAUCUCUGGGAUACUGAGCCUUCUGGUUUGCUUCUCAAGGGCAAAACAGGACAUAUAUCUCCACAUGUGAAUAUUUGCACUAUGCUGAGGAGAUGUUGAAUCACAACUUGUAGGUGUUCAAUAAUAGCUACCAUCUAAACACUUCCCUCUUGCCAUGGUUUAACUAAUCCAUACUGGGUUUGAAUCUGAAGCAGACUUCAAGUAUUAAAAUCUAGGAGACCACCCCAAGUCAGGAAGGCCACCAUUUGUUUUCUCUCAAUAACUGCUUUAUCCCCACGACAGCAGUCAGGGGCCUUACAUACAUUUUACCAUGUGAAGCAACCCACACAUAGGCAAUCAUGCUCCACAGUAAUGCUGAUGUUACCUAGAAAUAAGAGCAUCACUUCUAUAGAUAAUACACACAGGAGCAUGUUCAAGAUAUUACAUGCAACCUCCUCCUCUCCAAUAUUUUAAGUUUCAAAUGUGGGAUAUCUUCAUAUCCAUAAAGACUGGUUUCUGCUGAAAGGUUCCUGCUGCCCAAGCUGUUGCUAUUCUUUCCUCAGUUCUGAGGCCCUCCCUCAGGAUCAUCCCAGUUUUCCUGCUCCUGCAAAGUGCUAGCCUCUCAUGUCAGCUCACAUUUUCUCCUGCUGCCCUUAACACUCUUUCUCUUGUCGCCUUUCUUGUGAUGCUAAGCUUUUCCC